rnacentral:rRNA from 1 species
AGUGAACGCUGGCGGUAGGCCUAACACAUGCAAGUCGAACGGCAGCACAGUAAGAGCUUGCUCUUACGGGUGGCGAGUGGCGGACGGGUGAGGCAUACAUCGGAAUCUACUUUUUCGUGGGGGAUAACGUAGGGACACUUCCGCUAAUACCGCAUACGACCUACGGGUGAAAGCAGGGGAUCUUCGGACCUUGCGCGUUUGAAUGAGCCGAUGUCGGAUUAGCUAGUUGGCGGGGUAAAGGCCCACCAAGGCGACGAUCCGUAGCUGGUCUGAGAGGAUGAUCAGCCACACUGGAACUGAGACACGGUCCAGACUCCUACGGGAGGCAGCAGUGGGGAAUAUUGGGCAAUGGGCGCAAGCCUGAUCCAGCCAUGCCGCGUGGGUGAAGAAGGCCUUCGGGUUGUAAAGCCCUUUUGUUGGGAAAGAAAAGCAGCAGAUUAAUACCCCGCUGUUCUGACGGUACCCAAAGAAUAAGCACCGGCUAACUUCGUG